rnacentral:rRNA from 1 species
UUGGUUUAGUUAAGUCAGAUGUAGAAACGGCCCGGGGCUACCAACCGUACGGUAAUUGCUAUUUAGAAACGUGGACAAACUAGAGUACUGUAGGAGGGGGUAGAAUUUCAGGUGUAGCGGUGAAAUGCGUAGAGAUCUGAAGGAAUACCGGUGGCGAAGGCGGCCCCCUGGACAGAUACUGACACUCAGAUGCGAAAGCGUGGGGAGCAAACAGGAUUAGAUACCCUGGUAG